rnacentral:rRNA from 1 species
UACAGAGGGUGCGAGCGUUGUCCGGAAUCACUGGGCGUAAAGGGCGCGUAGGCGGCCUGAUAAGUAGGGGGUGAAAUCUUGCGGCUCAACCGCAAGGCUGCCUUCUAAACUGUCAGGCUGGAGCACGGUAGAGGCAGAUGGAAUUCCCGGUGUAGCGGUGAAAUGCGUAGAUAUCGGGAAGAACACCAGUGGCGAAAGCGCUCUACUGGGCCAUAACUGACACUGAGGGACGAAAGCUAGGGGAGCGAAAGGG